rnacentral:rRNA from 1 species
AUUGAACGCUGGCGGCAGGCUUAACACAUGCAAGUCGAACGAGUGGCGGACGGGUGAGUAAUGCUUGGGAAUCUAGCUUAUGGAGGGGGAUAACUACGGGAAACUGUAGCUAAUACCGCGUACCAUAGGAUGAGCCCAAGUGGGAUUAGGUAGUUGGUGAGGUAAAGGCUCACCAAGCCGACGAUCUCUAGCUGGUCUGAGAGGAUGACAUGCCCAACUGGGACUGAGACACGGGCCAGACUCCUACGGGGGGCGGCAGUGGGGAAUAUUGCGCAAUGGGGGCAACCUGACGCAGCCAUGCCUCGUGAAUGGAGAAGGCCUUAGGGUUGUAAAGUUCUUUCGGUAGCGAGGCGUUACCUACAGAAGAAGCACCGGCUAGCUCCGUGCCAGCAGCCGCGGUAAUC